rnacentral:piRNA from 1 species
UCUUUGAAAACGUAAAAAUGCAAUGAAGUG